AUUAUUAUAUUAAUAGAGCAAUAACUUCAUGCACAUCAUUUUACGACUUUAGCGUGUCCCGUCUCGUUCUAUGAUUAGGAAUUUAAUAUUAAUCUGAUGUUAAUGAUGUCUACAGCAUAGACCCGGGGAUCAGUCCACUCUCAAGUAGUUCCAAACCGCGGAUGUUUUGAGCAGGGAAGGAACGCGCGUAGUGAUUUGUUAAGUUUAGUUUUUGAGAGCCGCACACUUAUCAAAUCAAUACGCGCGCUGCGUUUUUGUUGGAGUUACGUGGGGUUGAAGCCGGAUCCUUUUUCACAUUUAUUGAAGUUAUCUUAAAAUCUCAGAAUUAUGACAAGAACAUCUGUGUUCGUACGGGUGUCUUUGCACGUAUCUUAAAAUUGAUAAAUCAUUUGGGCCGCUUAUUUUAGCCUCUGACAUCCGUUUUGUGAUAAUAUAGGCUAGUCUUUUUAGGUGUAGUUCUCAGUUUUGGGCUCUACAAUUCAUAUUCUUUAGCCUUCUUGUUUUUAAUUUCUACGUUUAAAUUCCCCUUUCUUUGUAUUUGUCUUCGCCUUUCUACAGUAAAUGACAACACGGCCUGUUCUCAGGGGAGGAGACUGAGACCGAGGGGAGUUGUGCGGCGUUUCAAGAUCCUUACUUUCAGCACUGAGAAUUAUGACAACUUAGAACAACUGAGGGAUACAAUAGCCUUAUCUAACCCCGUUGGGGUUUUAUUUACCUUGACCACACUACCGCCGAAAAGCCCUCUGCCUUUUUCUAAACCAAUACUUUUUCAAAUGCACACGUUUUACGGUUAUGAUUUCGUGCUUUUGCCAUAUUGACCAACUUCAUAGCGGACUAUAAGGGGUGGAUUAAGGUGGGUCCACCAACAUGCAAGCUUGUCCACGGAGAUAACACGCUGAUGACCGAUAACAUUUUCAGCCCAUUUUCAUAGAAAAAAGGGGUGAAUAACGCUCAGUUGGAUUAUAUAAACCCAGAGAGAUAUGCAGCUUUCAGUGAAUUUAAUCGAGCAUUCAGUCAGGAUCUUUGUUUUUGCCAUCUUUAUCGACUUGCAUGGAUCAGGAGGUUUUGGUGUUAUCUUCAUUACACCUGCUAUGAGCACCACGUCUCAUUUACACGUUCUACACGCACCUCCCUCACUGGGGAGCAAUAUCACGAGUUACCACCAGAUGGUGCUACUACGCCUUACUCCUAUGCCCGACCUCCAUGAUGGCCAGCAAUUUGGCCACCAUUCUCUUCUCAGCCGCUUUCUGGUCGCUGAGUCAACCACAAACUAGUGGACCAUGUAGGCUACUGCAUUGUCCAGCAGGCAUUGAAGGGCCCACGCCUCCUUAGGAAAUACAGUCUUCUUGUAUGCUGCCUCACUGUUCCAAGACCAGUCCAGCCCCCAGGGUGUUUUAAAUGCAACAGCACCACAUCCACUUCCUGGACGGGCACAGUGGUCACAAGACUCACUUGUUCAGAGUUCACCUUGACUCUCUCUUGACCUCAGCCUCACACACCCUUCUUACACACUUAUUGUAUGUUGUACGUCCUGGAAUUCCAUGUACCGACUUAUUGUAUGUUGUACUUCCUUGCACUUAAAAAUAGUACUUAGCAUGUUGUAGCAUAUUAUCCUAGCUAUCUGUCUAGUAUACGGGGAAUGGGUUAACCUAGCCAUUGUUAGCGCUUGGUUCUAUGAACAUCACCAACAGCAAUAUAUUGUGGUUUCUCUUUCUUCGGACAAAGUACAUUAUGUCUGACGGCUUGUUUCCCGUCCCAACGCUGCAUGUGUUUAUUUAGCUGACACAAUGCAAACCCACCGAUCUACGGUCUCUCCGGGCUCCUAAUUCAGAAAUGAUAUGGCCCUGGGGUGUUUACGUCACCCUGGGGACUUCUGUCUGACCUCGGACGUCCUUCUUUCAGCCGAUCACCGCAAUCAGUCGGCCGCCAUCACCAGUGUGAUUGAUUAAGCCAGUGAUGAAUCAUUGAGAAGGGCAGGUGUGUGCUCUCAUCAGCACAAACAUGCAACAUUUGAGUCUUUUUCGAUUGCUGAGUAGAGGAAAUAUGUUAAAAAAUUAUGAUUGAUAAGAAGUACAGCAUAAAAAAAAAUAAAACUAACUAAAAAUGUUAUGAUAUAAUGCCUUUUGUGUACUGAGCAUCGAUUGUUUAUUGCAUCCAUAGUAUUUAUUUUAUUUUCUGUAAGAAUCGUUUUUAAAGAGUAGUUUUCAUUUACUUAAUCAUAUAUUUAGGUAGGAGAAAUAUAUAUAUUUUCUUUAAAGAUGGGAUAUUUUCCUUAGAACACUAGAAACUCACAACUAGAGGGCGAUGUAUAUCAACAGUAUUCAUGUAAUGUUUGUUCUAAAGUGUUUGGUCGUUUCAUUCUUCUGCCAUGUUAUAUUUAGAAUAGAGUCUAAUCUUCUGCUUUAUAUUGAGCAAAGAGAAAAAUAAAUAAAGGAAGAGAGAGAUUAAAGGGUAGCGUGCGUGUGUGUGCGUGCGUGUGUGUGUGUGCGUGUGUGUGUGUGUGUGUGUGUGUGUGUGUGUGUGUGUGUGUGUGUGUGUGUGUGUGUGUGUGUGUGUGUGUGUGUGUGUGUGUGUGUGUGUGUGUGCGCGCACCGACAGGAAAAAUAUGAUGUUAUUGCAUUUAUUUAACUGACUCUGGGUUGGGUCUCCCCGGCUUGACCAAUAGGUCAGAGGUCAACAUCUAUUGAUCCUGGCUGAUUGAUUUUCCAAUUUGAACACGAUUGCC
rnacentral:lncRNA from 1 species